UCCUGUUUCCUUAGACAAAAGUCAAAUCGUGUGAUGGGUUCUUUCUGACCCUUUCUUGGUCACAGCUGUGGUUCCCUGUGGUGUCCCUCCUCCUCUGUUGUGAUGAGUAGUGCAGGUGUAUAUCGGGAUCAGUCAGUCCCCUGACCUGCCGAGAAAGGGGUGUGCAGUGAGUUCUAAUGAAAGAAAGACAAAGAGACAGAAUUUCAAAGUACAUGGGUGGCUGGGACUUUGCCAGAGUGGGCAAAGACAAAGACACUCCAAGCUGGCCACAACCUGUUGGGCACACAGUUAUCCGAGGUAUCGGGUGACUCACAGGACAGCUGCUGAUUUUAUGUUGAUGAGGACAGGGAGACGGGCAAAGCAUCCUUACAAUAGUAGGUGGAAUGAGAUAGCAGACUAAUAAUUUGUUCUUCCCUCAGGUGAAACCUUUCUCUUUUUUUAUUACUGCUUGGUUCUCAAGGAAGCAGGAUGUCUUCAACUGAUGUAAUGUUGCCCUUGGGGGACACAGCAUUACUGAUCCAUUGAGGCCUCAACUUCUGACUGGAGGUACACGGAGUUAUGUAACCACAUACAACAGCCAGCUGGAGGGAACCGGCCUCCUUUGCCCGUUUCCCUUCUGGGAAUUGCUCGCUUUUGAAGCCCAGCCAAGCCCGGGAUCCUGUCUGACGCCAGCCACUCCCACGUUUGUACACGUCUGCGAGCAGUCUGCAGGAAGCUCAACUCCUUCUCCCUGGCCGCUGGGUUUGGACUGUGUUCCGCGUCUCUUACUGUGUCCUCCACGGUCCAUUUUAUAACUAUUCAGGGCCCACAGGAGGCGAAGGCAUUCUUCUCUGGCCCCCAGAGCUCCUGGAGGUCCCAGUGGGGACAUCGCUACCUGCUGGAAGUCUCAGGUCUGGUGUCUCCACGGAGUGUUAUUCACCUUACCUCACUGCCCUGCAUCCGACCACCAGACAGUGAGGUCCCAAGGACAGUGACUCGCUUACAAAUUGCUUCAGCUUGCUGCUUCUCCAGUGCACGCAUGCAGGUACGAAUGAAUGAGUGAAUUAUUUCUCUGUCUCCUGCUGCUCAGCUUUCUGUUGCUCGUCCUUUUUAUACCCAGGUCUGGUUUAGGACAAAGCCUGUUCGGUUUUAGGAGCACUCAUCUUUGCUUGGAUCACACAAGGAGAGACAGGAGGGGCAGAAAGCAGCCAGCAGAACUCCAGCCAGGCGCCAAACCUGUGUGUCUUAGUGUUCUAAGUACAUAAAAAAAAUGCUGCUGUAUCCACAGACCAACAAUUAUCUCAUUAAAUAAUUCCUCAGACCUUGAUUUAACUGUUAAGAAAGAUGUUUUGAUAAAGAACAUCUGCUGUUGUUUCCAAGUAAAUAUUGUACCACUAAACUUUGAUUAAAAACUGGCUUAAAAAUUUAAUAGCCCCUCUGUAGAAGACGGCUAACUGCAAAAAGAAAAAUGUCACUUAUUUAAAUUGGUUUCUUCCCCUCCUUUGUUGCUCAAUUUCAACUGGGUUCCCAUAAUGAUGGCUUAAAACCCACGCAAUUUUGGAUGCAGUAAAUUGAGAUGCAUAAAUAAGAUUACCAUACCAAUACUGCUGUUUUCACUCUUUUCCUAUUGAUAUCUCAUUUCAGUUUUAUGCUUUAAUUAAAUUGAGUGUAUUUUAUGUUCCAGUUUGCUUUAAAACAACUGCAGUGCAUGUAAUUGACACUAUUUCAUCUCUGUUAGAAAGUGCUGAGUUGGAUCAAAUAUACUAGUUCCAUUUCCUUUUAUGUUUAACCUGUGGAAAAACUAAGACAGAAAUAAUAAGAAAUUGUGUUUCUUUUCCAAGUUUCUCUGUUAGGUGAGAAUAACGACUUAGUAAUUACUAAUAAAG